GGAUUAAAGGCGUGCGCCAUCAAUGCCCGGCUAGAGCAUAGCUUCUUAUACAUGUAACUAACUACUGAGUUUAUUUCUUACCUUAAGUAUUCUUAAUUAGCAGUUUAAUCUGCCUUAUACAACCUGUAAAAACUUAAUUUAUAAAAUUAUGGCUAAGUGUUCAUUUUCUUCAAGGAAAACAUUUUUAUAUGUACAUUCUCAACCUUUUUCUUCCCAUGCUUGUUUCUUAAGUGGUUUCAUAAAUUACCGAGAUAGCAAAUUAACUCGAAUUCUUCAGAAUUCCUUGGGAGGAAAUGCAAAAACUCGUAUCAUCUGCACAAUUACUCCAGUGUCAUUCGAUGAGACCCUAACCACUCUCCAGUUUGCCAGCGCUGCUAAAUAUAUGAAGAAUACCCCUUAUGUUAACGAGGUGUCAAAUGAUGAGGCCCUCUUGAAAAGGUACAGAAGAGAAAUAGUGGACCU